rnacentral:rRNA from 1 species
CAGCAGCCGCGGUAAAACGUAGGGUGCGAGCGUUAAUCGGAAUUACUGGGCGUAAAGCGUGCGCAGGCGGUUAUAUAAGACAGAUGUGAAAUCCCCGGGCUCAACCUGGGACCUGCAUUUGUGACUGUAUAGCUAGAGUACGGUAGAGGGGGAUGGAAUUCCGCGUGUAGCAGUGAAAUGCGUAGAUAUGCGGAGGAACACCGAUGGCGAAGGCAAUCCCCUGGACCUGUACUGACGCUCAUGCACGAAAGCGUGGGGAGCAAACAGGAUUAGAUACCCCCGUAGUCCCUGUCUCUUAUAC